rnacentral:rRNA from 1 species
AGUGAACGCUGGCGGUAGGCCUAACACAUGCAAGUCGAACGGCAGCACAGUAAGAGCUUGCUCUUACGGGUGGCGAGUGGCGGACGGGUGAGGAAUACAUCGGAAUCUACUUUUUCGUGGGGGAUAACGUAGGGAAACUUACGCUAAUACCGCAUACGACCUACGGGUGAAAGCAGGGGAUCUUCGGACCUUGCGCGAUUGAAUGAGCCGAUGUCGGAUUAGCUAGUUGGCGGGGUAAAGGCCCACCAAGGCGACGAUCCGUAGCUGGUCUGAGAGGAUGCUCAACAACAAUGGACAGAGGAACGGGGACCGAGUUGGAGGGGAGGCAGCAGUGGGGAAUAGUGGAGGAGUGGCGAAAGCGUGAUACGGCCAUACGGCGUGGGUGAAGCAGGCCUUCGGGUUUUAAAGCCCUAUUGUUGAGAAAGCAAAGCAGCACGUUAAUACACCGCUGUUCUGACGCUACACAAAGAAUAAGCACCGGCUAGCGUCGUGCCAGCAGCAGCGUUAAUAAUCGGACGAGCACCCGUCUCCAC